GCCAGCAUGGUAUAGUGGUUUGAGCAUUGGAUUAUGACUCUGGAGGCCAGGGUUCGAAUCCCAGACUGGCC